UACGUAGGGAGCAAGCGUUGUCCGGAAUCAUUGGGCGUAAAGCGCGCGUAGGCGGCCCCGUAAGUCCGCUGUGAAAGUCAAAGGCUCAACCUUUGAAAGCCGGUGGAUACUGUGGGGCUAGAGUCCGGAAGAGGCGAGUGGAAUUCCUGGUGUAGCGGUGGAAUGCGCAGAUAUCAGGAGGAACACCAAUAGCGAAGGCAGCUCGCUGGGACGGUACUGACGCUAAGGCGCGAAAGCGUGGGAGCGAACGAGG
rnacentral:rRNA from 1 species